GAUGAACGCUGGCGGCGUGCUUAACACAUGCAAGUCGAACGGGAAUGUUUCGCUGAUGCGAUUUCGGUCAAAUCUUGAAGCAUUUUAGUGGCGGACGGGUGAGUAACGCGUGGGUAACCUGCCCUGUACAGGGGGACAACAGUUGGAAACGACUGCUAAUACCGCAUAAGCGCACAGCUUCGCAUGAAGCGGUGUGAAAAACUCCGGUGGUACAGGAUGGACCCGCGUCUGAUUAGAUAGUUGGUGAGGUAACGGCCCACCAAGUCAACGAUCAGUAGCCGGCCUGAGAGGGUGAACGGCCACAUUGGGACUGAGACACGGCCCAAACUCCUACGGGAGCAGCAGUGGGGAAUAUUGCACAAUGGGGGAAACCCUGAUGCAGCGACGCCGCGUGAGUGAAGAAGUAUUUCGGUAUGUAAAGCUCUAUCAGCAGGGAAGAAAACAAUGACGGUACCUGACUAAGAAGCCCCGGCUAACUACGUGCCAGCAG
rnacentral:rRNA from 1 species